rnacentral:rRNA from 1 species
AGCGAACGCUGGCGGCAGGCUUAACACAUGCAAGUCGAACGGGCACUUCGGUGCUAGUGGCAGACGGGUGAGUAACACGUGGGAACGUACCUUUCGGUUCGGAAUAAUCCAGGGAAACUUGGACUAAUACCGGAUACGCCCUUCGGGGGAAAGAUUCAUCGCCGAUAGAUCGGCCCGCGUCUGAUUAGCUAGUUGGUGAGGUAAUGGCUCACCAAGGCGACGAUCAGUAGCUGGUCUGAGAGGAUGAUCAGCCACAUUGGGACUGAGACACGGCCCAAACUCCUACGGGAAGCAGCAGUGGGGAAUAUUGGACAAUGGGCGCAAGCCUGAUCCAGCCAUGCCGCGUGAGUGAUGAAGGCCUUAGGGUUGUAAAGCUCUUUUGUCCGGGAAGACAAUGACUGUACCGGAAGAAUAAGCCCCGGCUAACUUCGUG